UGGUCCUACGGGAGGCAGCAGUGAGGAAUAUUGGUCAAUGGGCGAGAGCCUGAACCAGCCAAGUCGCGUGAGGGAAGACGGUCCUAUGGAUUGUAAACCUCUUUUGUCGGGGAGCAAAAAGGCCUCGUGAGGCCACAAGCGAGAGUACCCGAAGAAAAAGCAUCGGCUAACUCCGUGCCAGCAGCCGCGGUAAUACGGAGGAUGCGAGCGUUAUCCGGAUUUAUUGGGUUUAAAGGGUGCGCAGGCGGUCUGUUAAGUCAGCGGUCAAAGCCCGGGGCUCAACCCCGGCCCGCCGUUGAAACUGG
rnacentral:rRNA from 1 species